AUGCUAGCAUUGAAACAAGUAAUCAACAGCGGAAAUUACGCAUUGGUGGUGAUGCCCAUGUGUCCUGUAGGAACAGUAAUAGUAGGAGGAAAGUGUGUCGUGGAUCGGGCAGCGCGGCCUCAUUUUGUGUCGCUUGAUGGGGACGACGACGGUCUUAUGGAUGCCGUCGCCGCUCAGAUUGGUGACGUUGUUGCGGCUUGGUGGCUGGGAUCGGUCAUGGGCGACGCCAAAGGUGGUCGCCGUCGCCGGUGGGGAAACAAGGUGACCUUCUUGUUCCAAUCUUUCUCCUUCCUUGUUCCUUUCUCCUAUCCCAGCUCUAUCUCAAUGCCUUAA
rnacentral:rRNA from 1 species